rnacentral:rRNA from 1 species
CUACGGGGGGCUGCAGUGAGGAAUAUUGCACAAUGGGGGGAACCCUGAUGCAGCAACGCCGCGUGGAGGAUGACGCAUUUCGGUGUGUAAACUCCUUUUAUAUGUCAAGAAAAUGACGGUAGCAUAUGAAUAAGCACCGGCUAACUCCGUGCCAGCAGCCGCGGUAAUACGGAGGGUGCAAGCGUUACUCGGAAUCACUGGGCGUAAAGGACGCGUAGGCGGGUUGGAAAGUCAGGUGUGAAAUCCUACAGCUUAACUGUAGAACUGCACUUGAAACUUCUAAUCUAGAGUAUGGGAGGGGGAGAUGGAAUUAGUGGUGUAGGGGUAAAAUCCGUAGAUAUCACUAGGAAUACCUAAAGCGAAGGCGAUCUCCUGGAACAUUACUGACGCUAAGGCGUGAAAGCGUGGGGAGCAAACAGGAUUAGAUACCCUAGUAGUC